AGAGUUUGAUCCUGGCUCAGGACGAACGCUUGCGGCGUGCCUAAGAAAUGCAAGUCGAGCGGGGAGCAAUCCCAGCGGCGAACGGUCGCGUAACACGUAAGCAACCUGCCCGAAAGACCGGGAUAACGUUUCGAAAGAGGCGCUAAUACCGGAUGUGACCGCGUGAAGACAUCUUCUUGCGAUUAAAUCAUUUAUGGCUU
rnacentral:rRNA from 1 species